rnacentral:rRNA from 1 species
AGUCUAAGUAUAAGUGAUUCUGAUGACGAAACUGCGAAUGGCUCGGUAAAACAGCAAUAAUUUCUUCGAUGGUAACCUACUAUACGGAUAACCGUAGUAAUUCUAGAGCUAAUACGUGCCAUAAACGCAGGUUUUCCUGUGGUGCUAAUUAGAUAACAACACCAACAUAUGGUGAUUCAUAAUUCUCUUUCUGAUCGCUGAGCAAUCAGCGACGCAUCGUUCAAAUUUCUGACCUAUCAACUUUAGAUGGUAAGGUAGUGUCUUACCAUGGUGGCAACGGGUAACGGACCGUGGGUGCGGGACUCCGGAGAGGGAGCCUGAGAAACGGCUACCACAUCCAAGGAAGGCAGCAGGCGCGCAAAUUACCCAAUCCAGACUCUGGGAGGUAGUGACAAGAAAUAUCAAUAGGGGACCCUAUGGGUCUUCUAAUUGGAAUGAGAACAAGCUAAACAGCUUAUCGAGAAUCCAGCAGAGGGCAAGUCUGGUGCCAGCAGCCGCGGUAAUUCCAGCUCUGUAAGCGUAUACCAAAGUUGUUGCAGUUAAAACGCUCGUAGUCGGAUUUUGGUAGUUCCGGGAGUGUGCGCGUCGUGCGCGUGCUUCGCAGGGGCUGCUUUUGUGGGCAUGCGUCAGAUGAGGCAACUUUAUUGUUGAACGUCUGUACGCAACCACCAUUUACUGUGAAAAAAUUAAAGUGUUCAAAGCAGGCAUUUGUCGUGAAUACAUUAGCAUGGAAUAAUUGAAUAGGACUUGGUCUUAUUUUGUUGGUUUGUUAUGGCUGAGUAAUGAUUAAAAGGGACAGUUGGGGGCAUUUGUAUUCCGGAGCUAGAGGUGAAAUUCUUAGAUUUCCGGAAGACAAACCGCUGCGAAAGCGUCUGCCAAGGAUGUUUUCAUUGAUCAAGAACGAAAGUAAGGGGAUCGAAGACGAUCAGAUACCGUCGUAGUCUUUACUAUAAACGAUGAGGACUGGGGAUCGGGCGAGGAAUUGCGAUGACCAUUCCGUUAACGAGCGAGACCUGGGCGUGCUAAAUAGGGGCUACUACCGCUUUUGGUAGUACGUUACCUCUUCUUAGACGGACUGCGGGCGUCUAGUCCGCGGAAGCUCCAGGCAAUAACAGGUCUGAGAUGCCCUUAGAUGUUCUGGGCCGCACGCGUGCUACACUGAGUGGAUCAGCGGGUCAGGUUGCACGAAAGUGUUUCCUAAUCUUGAAAUCCGCUCGUGAUGGGGAUUGAGGGUUGCAAUUUUCCCUCAUGAACGAGGAAUACCUUGUAAGCGUGGGUCAUCAUCCCGCGCUGAAUACGUCCCUGCCCUUUGUACACACCGCCCGUCGCUCCUACCGAUUGAGUGGUCCGGUGAGGCUUUGGGAUUGUAGCGGGAAGAGCGUUUCGCUCGUUCUGCCACGAAAACUCAGUCGAACCUUAUCAUUUAGAGGAA